rnacentral:rRNA from 1 species
AAAAAUAUUAAAAAUUAGGUAGUAAAGGAAUUUCCGAAACCUAAAGGACUUGGCGGUAUUUUAAAUAAUUGGAGGAACUUGUUAUUUAAUUGAAACUACACAACAAAUCUUUCCUUGUUUUUGCUUGUAUAUCAUUGUUUAAAGACAACAUUUUCUAAUAUAGUCUAAAUCAAAUUUAUUCAAAAAAUCAAAUCAAGGCGCAGCAUAAUAAGGUAGUAAUGAGUUACAAUGAAUUUUAUUCAAAACGGAGAUAAAAAUUAAAAAUAUAUUGAAGGUGGAUUUAAAAAUAAUGAAAAACUAAAAAGUUUUCAUGAAUAAUAAUUUAAAAUAUGC